CGUAGGUGGCAAGCGUUGUCCGGAUUUUACUGGGCGUAAAGGGAGCGUAGGUGGAUAUUUAAGUGGGGAUGUGAAAUACCCGGGGCUUAACCUGAGUGCUGCAUUCCAAAACUGGAUAUCUAGAGUGCAGGAGAGGAAAGGAGAAUUCCUAGUGUAGCGGUGAAAUGCGUAGAGAUUAGGAAGAAUACCAGUGGCGAAGGCGCCUUUCUGGACUGUAACUGACACUGAGGCUCGAAAAGCGUGGGGGAGCAAAACAGGAUU
rnacentral:rRNA from 1 species